UGGGGAAUAUUGGACAAUGGGGGCAACCCUGAUCCAGCCAUGCCGCGUGUGUGAAGAAGGCCUUAGGGUUGUAAAGCACUUUCAGUGGGGAGGAAGGCUUCUGGCUAAUAACCUGGAGUACUUGACGUUACCC
rnacentral:rRNA from 1 species